GUUCCUGUUUCAAAGCCACCAAUGUGGGUUAUCUCUAAAAGAUAAUCUUGGUGCAUAUUGCUGCAAUUGCCAUAGCUACCACUGGAAUAUUCCACCUGAUUGCAUCAGUUUUAGCAAUUUGCACACAGGUUGCUCUUGAAGUAUCGCCCAUUGUUUUCGGGAUUAAGGUACCUCGCUGCCCACACAGCUCGCUCCUGGCCGACUUCAUUUGGAAUUCGGCUCAGCAGCUACAAAAUGUGGAAAGCUUAACAACCCGCGUUUUUCAAUUAAUGUUGGUGACAAAGCUCUCAGGGGCAGGCGACGGUCAGCUAUGCAUCAUGCAGCAGUAAUACUUCUUUUUAAUUUUUAUUUAUUAAAGCCACAGUCUAAAUUCUUCUUUAAAUGCAGUGGUUACAUUUGUAAAAGAGAUGAAACCGUAUGUGCGUAGUAUUUAUUUGAGUAAAGCACUUUAUGUCACAUUAUCCUUUUAAUAAAAAUGUGUUGUAUAUUUUGAGACAUGAUAAGCUUUACAACGACCCGGCCUAUGAAUAGAGUCUAAGAUUCUUUGGCAGGCAACAGAACCACUUAUUGUAUAAAGUAUGGCAUAAA